rnacentral:lncRNA from 1 species
UUUCAUUCAAAUAUCCAAGUGCAUCGAAAUCCUAAUACCCAAAAUCCCUUAACUAUAGCAAUCAAAGCAUAAAGUAAAUAAACAUGACAAGAGAAAUAUCUAUAAUGUUUAUUUCAAUUUUCACUAGGCACCCAAGUGUUGUCCUCCAAAGGUGAUCCAUACAAGAAUCAAUCCAAGGAUAAUGCUUCUUGAACCUCGC